CUCCCCCUCCCUCCCAUACAGGAGGGGCGACUUAUGUGUUUUGUGAGUGCAUUGGUUACAAAGUCCUAUGCAACAAAUUAAUUUUCCCUCUUUUAAGGUGUGGACCUGGAUUGCAGAGAUGCCGGCAGGAUCAGAAGGGGGACCUGCUGCUCCUCAACCCACAGAGGAUGAGCCAGCAGCAAAAGAGAGCCUCCUCCUGCUAUGUUCUGAUUUGGACAAAGAGGAGCCGGGCCUCUAGCCCACUACAAAGCUGAGCCUUGCAUUGGAAUGCAUGAAUGUCCACUGGAGUGGUGGGCAGCUCAUGCAGGAGCCUAUGGACAGUUGUCCUCUCUUGUCCUCCACCUGUCAGCAGCCCUCCAGCUCUACUCCCAACAAAGGGACCCCCUGGUCUGAGGUAGUGGUCCACAGUCGGAAGAAGGCUUCUGCCAGGGCUCCGUGCAGUGUUUCCUCCUCCUUCAGCAUCCCCCUCUCCAACAAAUAUUCGGCUCUGUCCAUGACUAUGGAGCCACUGGACCAGUGCCCUGCUGAUUCCGAGGUCUCCCCGAGGGACGCUGACAGACACCACAGCCUUCCUCAUGGCUGUCUUCUCUUGCUCGUAAAUACCUGGCUACUCUUGCGACCUCUGUGCCAUGUGAGGUCAUGUGCCAUCUUUCAAAUGAUGCGCUUGAAUCAAGAGGUUGCUGCAAAUCUGGUCUCUUUGUAUUAUCUGUAAUUUUUGUAAUUUUUGCUCGAUUAGUUUCAUAUUUUUGUUGUCAUUUUGUUGGCUGCUGAUGGAUACUUCUGCUGGGCGCAGAGUUUACUCAAAAGAAGAGCUGCUUUCAUUGAGGAAAAGCAAAUCUGGACAACAACAUACCAUUCCAGAGGACAUCAGGAGGUGUUAUUGUGGUUGCCGUGCUGGUGCAAAGUUGAAGGCAAAGCUAAUGCUAGGAGGUGGAGAUAUAAAUUCUUUCUUCUAUCAAUCAUCAUGGGAAACGUCAACUCUCUGCCCAACAAAAGCGAUGAGCUGGAGAUCUUGGUGAAGACUGAGAAAGACUGAGUGCAGUUUCCUGCGUUUUACUGAAACCUGGUUAAAUCCCCAGCCAUUUCUCUCUUCUGUGACCAACUUUUUAACCCAUUUUAACAACUUUUAAGACUGCAUUUUAAGAGUUUGCUGGCUUUUAAGUUGAACGUUUACCAUGUAUGGGUUUUUAUUUUAUUUUAUUUUAUCUGUCAUAGAAGAGAAAAAGAGUGCAAGUUCCCGCAAGCCAUCAUUUUUAUUCGGUUUUAAAAUGUUCUAUCCUUUAACAUUUUGUUCCUUGAGCAAAGGAUUAUUUUUAUCUUUUUGCUUUUACCGGACGAAAGGUUUUAGACAUCAGACUCUAGGAUUUUAUGCACUCUUGCUGAGUCCGCUACAUGGCAAACAUGGAGGCUACUAUCAUAGACGCUUCCUUACCUGCUGAAAUUGAUCAAAAACUUAAAUAAGCCCAGAAAAAGAUCGCUGAUCUUCUGGAGAACAUUGGUUGACUCUCAGAUGAGCUGCAAAGGAAGGACUCACUCCUGGCCACUUUCAAAUCUCGGCUCCCGGCGUUGCCCAGCUGGAGCACACAGACAGGCGAGCUGCCACAGCAUAGCACUGCCACUGCACUGAGGGACACCGUCGUCUGGGAGCCUUCCUCCUCCACCUGUCAGAGGCCCUCCAGCUCUACUCCCAACAGAGGGACCCCCUGGUCUGAGGUAGCGGUCCACAGUCAGAAGAAGGCUUCUGCCGGGGCUCCGCGCGGUGUUUUCUCCCCCAUCGGCACCCCCCUCUCCAACAAAUAUUCGGCUCUGUCCAUGACUGUGGAGCCACUGGAUCAGGGCCCUGCUAAUCCCGAGGUCUCCCUGAGGGAUGCUGCACCCCCGCUGACAGACACCACAGCCUUCCCUCCACUCAUGGCUGCCUGUGCCCCACCGGAUCGACGUCUAGCACUGGGCCAUCCAGCACCGUGCUGCUCACCUCCGUCCCUCAGCCUAGCGGAGGCAGCUCCUCAAGGAUGCAGCGCGGUGGCACACUGGACGUCCUCAUCCCUGGUUGCCUGACGGGGAGGAGGGGUCCACCGAGCCAGCUGCCCCCCAGGCAACAGGCCACGACACUUGUCAUCGGGGACUCCAUCAUCCGGAACGUCCGUCUGAGGGGGGUGUUCACCCUGUCCUUUCCCGGCGCCACUGUUGCAGACAUAACGAGGAAAAUCCCAAGCGCCCUGAAGUCACAUCCUCAGGUAAACAGGGUCGUCAUACAUGUGGGCACCAAUGACACCUCUAGACAACAGUCCGAGCUUUUUAAGCGUGAUUUCACACAGCUUUUUAACAAACUCUAACGGCCCCAGCUGCGCGUUUUUAUCUCCGGCCCCACUCCCACCUGUGGCAGAGGCAUUGGGCGCUUCAGCAGGCUGCUCAGCCUGAACACCUGGCUCUCAUCAGCCUGCAGUACCCACAAUGUCAGCUUUGUUGGCAAUUUUGAUGUUUUUGGGGAGAGGAGACAUCUUUUUGGUUUGGAUGGUCUUCAUCUUAAUAGAGCUGGCACCCGCGUGCUGGCCACCAACCUGGCAUACGGUCUACAACAUACUCAACUCUCACUUUCCUCCCAUCACCCCAAACGUACACUGACUGACCUUUUCACCACUGAUUGAUGUCCCCCCGGUCCCAGUUCCUAUAAUUUUAGUUUCACCCCUGUCACACACAAUACUGGACUCGAACCUUUUUUUUUUUCAUUAACCAUUCACCCAUUCCUGUCAUAAUCACUCAGCGAGAGACAACCAGACUCCAUCAUGUACACUCUGUAAACUUCAAUAAACCUAGACCUCUCCCCAAACAUCAACAAUCUAACCACACAGUCUGUAAAUCACCCGUCAACAUUAACAUGGCACUUUUAAAUAUUCCCUCUUUUAAACAAAUCUUUUAUUGUCCAUGACCUGAUUUUAGACAACAAGGUUGAUUGUCUGUUUUCUAACUGAAACGUGGCUGGGUACAGACGCGCCAGUUAUUCUCACUGAGGCCUCCCCACCUAAUUUUAACUUUACGUUUUCUCUUAGAAGUGGCAGGAAAGGUGGUGGUACUGCAUCAAUAAUCAACAGCUCACUAAGCACAAAAGAAAUACAAUUUGAUCAGUACACCACCUUUCAACAUCAUUUGGUUAUUUUUAACAGUCCCUCAAUUCUUUGUAUAACUGUUUACAGACCACCAAAACAUAAUGUUGCUUGUAUCAGUGAAUUUGCUGAAUUUUUAGCAAUAAUCCAUGCCACUUACAAUUUUAUUAUUAUAAGCAGCAUACAAUAAGGUCAGACUAAAAAGGUCCUUUGUCUACCAGUCGACCUUAAGGCUUAAUCAGGAGUUGGGCCAGGGGUAAGCAGGGUGGUGGACUUUUGGCCCCUGUCCUCAUGUCUUUAUGUAUGUAAUGCAUGUUUUUCUGCCUCUGGUGUCCAUGUCAAAUGUGUGUAUAUGUGUCUCCUAUUUUGCAUACAUGCUGCUGUUGUCGCAAGUCAAAUUUCAGCGUAAGCUAACUAAUAAAGUAAUAUAUAAUAUCAUAUCAUAUCAUGUCAUCUGAUUCAAUGGCAAAAGAGUUUUUAAAUCUACUUAGUUGCUUGGAUUUUACACAACAUGUCACACAGCCAACUCACAACAGAGGACACACUUUUGGUCUAGUCCUCAGCUAUGGCCUGUCAGCCAGUGUGUCCUCUGUUGUUGACCUGACUGUGUCUGACCUUUAUUGUGUGUUUUUUAACAUCACCAGUUUUAUUCAGCGGGAUACCUUGUUGCAAACUGUCAGGAAACGGUAUUUUACAUCAGAAGUGGCUGCAAAUUUUAUUGAGAUCUUGAGCAAGCAUCCUUCAGCUACUUUACCUGCAUCCUGUGAUUUUAUUGUUCAACAUUUUAUCAACAAACUCGAAACCACACUUGACCUUGUAGCACCACUGAGAACAAAAAAGGUACUGCCUAAGCGCACACUGCUGUGGAGAAAUGACGAAAUCAAAAAACUAAAAAGAAAUUGCUGGGUAGCUGAGCGGAGAUGGAGGAAAAUAAAAUCUCAAUUAAUCAUCAAACAUACUGCGAGCAACUGAAAAUGUACAAUAAAGCUCUCAGACACACAAGAUCCACCUAUUUCAUGAACAUAAUCACGGAUCAUAAAAAUAACCCUAAAAUCCUCUUUGCUACAAUUGAUCUUUUAAUCAAUCCAGUUUUUAACAGGUAUCAAAUCACUUCUUCAGACCUUUCUAUAUAUUUUAAAUCAGUGUCCCAACACACUAUUAUUAUUGUUUAAGAAUCUAAGCAUUAUUUUGCUUGAAUGAAACAAGUAAAAAUGUCAGGGUGGAGACUGGGGGAGGGAUUUCACUGACAGAGGCCCCCCCUGUGUGAUACAUAUGUAACUGCAUGGCUUCAUUCCAUGGCUUUAUUACCAUUGAACUAUGCUUUCAAAUGUUUCCAAUACAUUUUAUUUUCAUCUGAAGACCUUAACAGACAACACACCACAUUAUUAUUACUGACAGGGCUGUACUUUUCAGCCUACUCAGCACUGAAACCGUGAUCAUAACUUGAUCCAUUCCAGGUUAGUGUUGGUUAUUUGGCAUGGUGAUCCACUGAUCCAGCCAGGUUAAAAAAAGAAUAAGGACAAUAGUAUCACAAAUCUUGACUUUGGGUCAUUAGCCCAAUUUCCCUGCCUUUUUAGGCUUGCAUUAUUAUAGACUCAUCAGUUAUUUGUUUUUCACAGUAUUCGAGCUGAACAUUGACAAUACUUAUCAGUGCUUUGGAUGGAGGAUGACCACAUGUCAAAGUUGACAGGGACCAUCUUGUUUUCUGUGUCCCAA